rnacentral:rRNA from 1 species
UGAGAAACGGCUACCACAUCCAUGGAAGGCAGCAGGCGCGCAAAUUACCCAAUCCCGACACGGGGAGGUAGUGACAAUAAAUACUGAUACAGGGCUCUUUUGGGUCUUGUAAUUGGAAUGAGUACAAUUUAAACCUCUUAACGAGGAACAAUUGGAGGGCAAGUCUGGUGCCAGCAGCCGCGGUAAUUCCAGCUCCAAUAGCGUAUAUUAAAGUUGUUGCAGUUAAAAAGCUCGUAGUUGAAACUUGGGUCUGGCUGGCAGGUCCGCCUCACCGCGUGUACUUGUCCGGCCGGGCCUUCCUUCUGGAGAACCUCAUGCCCUUCACUGGGCGUGUUGGGGACCAGGACUUUUACUUUGAAAAAAUUAGAGUGUUCAAAGCAGGCCUUUGCUCGAAUACGUUAGCAUGGAAUAAUAGAAUAGGACGUGCGGUCCUAUUUUGUUGGUUUCUAGGACCGCCGUAAUGAUUAAUAGGGACAGUCGGGGGCAUCAGUAUUCAAUUGUCAGAGGUGAAAUUCUUGGAUUUAUUGAAGACUAACUACUGCGAAAGCAUUUGCCAAGGAUGUUUUCAUUAAUCAGUGAACGAAAGUUAGGGGAUCGAAGACGAUCAGAUACCGUCGUAGUCUUAACCGUAAACUAUGCCGACUAGGGAUCGGGCGAUGUUCUUUUUCUGACUCGCUCGGCACCUUACGAGAAAUCAAAG